rnacentral:rRNA from 1 species
AGUGAACGCUGGCGGUAGGCCUAACACAUGCAAGUCGAACGGCAGCACAGUAAGAGCUUGCUCUUACGGGUGGCGAGUGGCGGACGGGUGGGGAAUACAUCGGAAUCUACUUUUUCGUGGGGGAUAACGUAGGGAAACUUACGCUAAUACCGCAUACGACCUACGGGUGAAAGCAGGGGAUCUUCGGACCUUGCGCGAUUGAAUGAGCCGAUGUCGGAUUAGCUAGUUGGCGGGGUAAAGGCCCACCAAGGCGACGAUCCGUAGCUGGUCUGAGAGGAUGAUCAGCCACACUGGAACUGAGACACGGUCCAGACUCCUACGGGAGGCAGCAGUGGGGAAUAUUGGACAAUGGGCGCAAGCCUGAUCCAGCCAUACCGCGUGGGUGAAGAAGGCCUUCGGGUUGCAAAGCCCUUUUGUUGGGAAAGAAAAGCAGCAGGUUAAUACCCCGCUGUUCUGACGGUACCCAAAGAAUAAGCACCGGCUAACUUCGUG